AGUGGGUUGGCCUAGUGGCAAGGCGUCUCUCCCACAAAGACUUACACACACGGUGUACUAGCGACCCUGAUACAUCGUGUCCGUAAGUCCAGUACAGAGAAAAUCGUGGGUUCGAUCCCCACACUCACUA